GGGACGUGAUCAUGGAUGGAACACUCUCCUGGAUACCAUUUGUUGUGCAAACAAUAACUAUGGCCAGAUGUGUCCAUCGCCGGCGAUAUCGUAUGGGUGUUGGUUACAAGCGAAAACCUGAUGGGACUGUAAUUGAGAACUACUGGGAGCAAAUUGAAGAAGAUCAAUUGCAAGAAGGAGGGAAAAGGAGGAAGCCAUACAGAAUAGAGCUGGUUGGGGUUGUUUGUGAAGCCUAUUUAGCGGUCAUUAGAGGCAUAAGGUACUGCACCAUGGAAAACAUUAGAGACAGUUGUCUUAGUUUUAGUACGAAGUCUUUUCCCCUUUAGCUGAGAUAUUGAUUUUAUCAAGAAAUUCAAUAUUUACAGGAGAGCUAUAAUGUGUAGACGCGCUGUAAGGGUGCAGUCACAAUUGAAAUCCCACAAGAGAUUUGCAAAUGCGUUUCCAACAUAUUGCCAACUGGUUGACAGUGCUAGGCUGUAUUCCACCAAUGCUUUGGAAGGUCCACCUAAGGUGAAUUAACUAUCCGACAUUUUCAAUCUUUAUUUACUUAACAGGUGACAUAAAACUGAAAGGAACACCUAGUUCACCAAAGAAUUUUAUCAUGCAAGAAAUGCUAUUUGUAAAUUGUUUGACAUUUCAAUACAGGAGGCUUUUGUCUCUGGUACAAAAUUAGAUGAGGAGAACUGGCUUUCUCUUAAAGCCAUGAACCCUGCUCAAUCUUUCAGGAAGAUCAUAAGCAGGCUUACCACUAGUCUAAUUUUAUUGGAAAAAAACCAUAGUAGUAUGAAAAACAGCUGACACUGUUGUAAAGUAGCAAUCUACAAAUAGAACUCCUUUCUAGGCAUGCAAACUUCCAUUUUCUUGUUCAGGACUGAACUCAUUCAAGUGUCUGGUUGUAGAAUUGGUGAGAGAGUGGUUUUGAACCCUCACAAGUCCAAGACAACUAAGUUGAGAUUAAACCAAACCUAAGCGGAGAAAAAUUCCAGCAGCCCAGUUUACUCCAUUAUAAUCCUAAAACUGAAAUCUAGGAGGAAGAGAAAAUAGCCUUGUCUGUUACAGAUAACUGCAGGCUGCAGCAUGCAGGGAUAAACAAAUAAAUUGUGAAGGAACUUCAUUGCUAGCAAAAUUACUCCAUGCAACCAAUUAUGUAGCAUUAACAUGAAAAUUUUUGUAAAGUUGAUAGGAUGGAAAGAAAGAGAGAGAACCUUGCUAGUUGAUCCAGAUGAAAUUGACUGUUUAAAGAAAGUGGGCAGGCUGAAUGAAGAAGCUGAGUCCAUAUAUGAACUUUACAAGCACCCCAACCCGGCGUGUGAAGCUGGUUCAAUCUGGAAAGACAUUGUACUAUCACCUUCUAGACUAAAUAUUCAAAAGGAGCUGAAGUUUACCAUCCAGAAAGUGGAAAGAAUGACGCAGCACAAAAAGAGUUAAAAGCUUAUGAAUAUUCACCAAAAAAUUUACAUGCUGAAGGAGGUAUCUCAAUCCUUUUUCUAUAGUUAUGACCAAGAAUGUCUACUAAGGUUGUAUUAAAUCAUGAAGAAUAUGUGUAAAUUUUUUGUUACUAGCUUAGCUCAGUUCAGACUCUGGAACUGGAAAACAGAAUAUUCCCAUUAAUUGUUUCAAAUAAUCUACUAGUAUCGGUAGGUGUGGGGCUGAGCAUUGGAACUCCAAAGAGGAAUUUAAAAGUAAAAGAAAGAGAAAUUACAGCAGCAACUUAAGUGAGAUAAAUUCUUACUUCACAAUUCAAUUAACGCAGACUGUGCGUGGUUGCAAUUACCAUCAAAUUUAAAGACAUGCAUCCACACAAACAUGCACAUCUACAACAAAAGAUGAGUAUGGAUGCUAGCUUUCAAGCAAUAAAAAAGCAUAAUAAAUAUGAUAAUAACCAAAAGGAUCUGCAGCAUGAGAUAAUGCAGACCACUAUCAACGAACCUGGACAUCCCAUUAUUUUCCUUAAUUACAACUAAGAACCUUUUCAACGUUCAAAUAAAAAAUGAAUUGUUUAGCAAAUGGUUGUCAAUUGAUGAUCCACCCAUUAACAUGAAGAAAAUAAUGGUAAUCCAGAUUGUGAAUGAAAUCUGUAACUAGGAUCACAAUUUAUGAUACCUGGAAGUUAAAAGUGAAGCAUUUCACAUAUUCAAAAGAAUCCCCAUUUUCCGUAUAGUGAUUCUGCAAAUACAAACCAUUGUAAUAAUGAAACCACAGCAAUUUUUUCCCUUUUGGAACUGUUCUAUAAAAUACCAUAUUGUAGAGCUGUUCUUGAAAAAACAAUUGUUCUAAAUAGAAGCUGCUCUGAACAACAAUUGUUCUAAACAUAGUUCCUGAAAUGCAAUUAUUCUAAACAAAAGUUAUGGACAUUAGCUAUUAUCAAGAGAAGCCAUUCUAAGAUGAUAGCUACCUUGGAUGACAACUGUUCUAAAUGAAGCCUUGUUCUGAACAUAGUUGUUUCAAAUUUAGAUUCUCAAACAAUAAUUGUUCUAAACAGUAACUAUUCUAAACAAGAGUUGUUCUUCCAGAAGAGAUAUUAAUAGAAGCAACUCCACUACUUGUUUCGAGUUAAACUUUGUUACUAUCUUUGGAAGUUUAAGUUCUUAAAACAUAAUCUUAAUUAUCUCCGAAAAAAGAUAAGAUAUUAAUAGCCAAAACAAAGUAUCUACACACAUCUACUCCUUAAAAGGGCUGGGAAGAUAAUGAAAGCCUUGUCAAUAUCACUGAUGUUUAGAAUUUGUAUGAGUUUUGUACAGCAAAGAACGAGAAAGGUAAAAUGGAAUCAUUGUAAAAAAUAAAAAGAAAAUAAAGAAAUUUUCAAACGAAAUCAAUCAAGAUGUAGCAC
rnacentral:lncRNA from 1 species